CCUACGGGUGGCUGCAGUGAGGAAUAUUGGUCAAUGGACGAGAGUCUGAACCAGCCAAGUAGCGUGAAGGAUGACUGCCCUAUGGGUUGUAAACUUCUUUUAUAUGGGAAUAAAAUGCUCCACGUGUGGGAUUUUGUAUGUACCGUAUGAAUAAGGAUCGGCUAACUCCGUGCCAGCAGCCGCGGUAAUACGGAGGAUCCGAGCGUUAUCCGGAUUUAUUGGGUUUAAAGGGAGCGUAGGUGGAUUGUUAAGUCAGUUGUGAAAGUUUGCGGCUCAACCGUAAAAUUGCAGUUGAAACUGGCAGUCUUGAGUACGGUAGAGGUAGGCGGAAUUCGUGGUGUAGCGGUGAAAUGCUUAGAUAUCACGAAGAACUCCGAUUGCGAAGGCAGUUCACUGGACUGCAACUGACGCUGAGGCUCGAAAGUGUGGGUAUCAAACAGGAUUAGAUACCCGAGUAGUC
rnacentral:rRNA from 1 species